rnacentral:rRNA from 1 species
GUGAACGCUGGCGGCGUGCCUAACACAUGCAAGUCGAACGAUGAUAGAGAGCUUGCUCUCUUGAUUAGUGGCGCACGGGUGAGUAUACCAUAGAUAAUGUACCUCUUAGUUCGGGAUAGCCACUGGAAACGGUGAUUAAUACCGGAUACUCCUUCUUACUCUAAGGUAAGUCGGGAAAGUUUUUUCGCUAAGAGAUCAGUCUAUGUCCUAUCAGCUAGUUGGUGAGGUAAUGGCUCACCAAGGCUAUGAUGGGUAUCUGGUUUGAGAGGAUGAUCAGACGCACUGGAACUGAGACACGGUCCAGACUCCUACUGGAGGCAGCGGUGAGGAAUAUUGCACAAUGGAGGAAACUCUGAUGCAGCAACGCGGCGUGGAGGAUGACGCAUUUCGGUGUGGAAACUCCUGUUAAGAGGGAAGAUAAUGACGGUACCUCUUGAAUAAGCACCGGCUAACUCCGU